CUACGGGCUGCAGCAGUGAGGAAUUUUGCGCAAUGGGGGAAACCCUGACGCAGCAACGCCGCGUGAGUGAUGAAGGCUUUCGAGUCGUAAAGCUCUGUCAAGUGGGAAGAAACUACUUUAUGCCAAUACCAUGAAGUAUUGACGGUACCACUGAAGGAAGCACCGGCUAACUUCGUGCCAGCAGCCGCGGUAAUACGGGGGGUGCAAGCGUUAUUCGGAAUUAUUGGGCGUAAAGAGCGCGUAGGCGGUCUUUUAAGUCAGAUGUGAAAGCCCAGGGCUCAACCCUGGAAGUGCAUUUGGUACUAAGAGUCUUGAGUAUGGGAGAGGGAAGUGGAAUUCCUGGUGUAGAGGUGAAAUUCGUAGAUAUCAGGAGGAACACCGGUGGCGAAGGCGACUUCCUGGACCAAUACUGACACUGAGGCGCGAAGGCGUGGGGAGCAAACAGGAUUAGAUACCCGCGUAGUC
rnacentral:rRNA from 1 species